GUCUCCAUCGUUCAACGGAUAGGACACUGGGUUGCGGACUCAGAAAUAGAGGUUCGAUUCCUCUUGGGGACACCA
rnacentral:tRNA from 1 species